rnacentral:rRNA from 1 species
UACAGAGGGGGCAAGCGUUGUUCGGAAUUACUGGGCGUAAAGGGCGCGUAGGCGGCCGCCUAAGUCAGACGUGAAAUCCCUCGGCUCAACCGGGGAACUGCGUCUGAUACUGGGUGGCUUGAAUUCGGGAGAGGGAUGCGGAAUUCCAGGUGUAGCGGUGAAAUGCGUAGAUAUCAUCUGGAACGCCAAAGGUGAAAACAGACUGCUGGGAGUGUGCUGACGCUGAGACACGAAAGCUAGGGGAGCGAACGGG